rnacentral:rRNA from 1 species
GACAGCGGAGGGAUCAUUACCGAGUUUACAACUCCCAAACCCCUGUGAACAUACCAAUUGUUGCCUCGGCGGAUCAGCCCGCUCCCGGUAAAACGGAACGGCCCGCCAGAGGACCCCUAAACUUUGUUUCUAUAUGUAACUUCUGAGUAAAACCAUAAAUAAAUCAAAACUUUCAACAACGGAUCUCUUGGUUCUGGCAUCGAUGAAGAACGCAGCAAAAUGCGAUAAGUAAUGUGAAUUGCAGAAUUCAGUGAAUCAUCGAAUCUUUGAACGCACAUUGCGCCCGCCAGUAUUCUGGCGGGCAUGCCUGUUCGAGCGUCAUUUCAACCCUCAAGCCCCCGGGUUUGGUGUUGGGGAUCGGCGAGCCUCACGGCAAGCCGGCCCCGAAAUACAGUGGCGGUCUCGCUGCAGCUUCCAUUGCGUAGUAGUAAAACCCUCGCAACUGGUACGCGGCGCGGCCAAGCCGUUAAACCCCCAACUUCUGAAUGUUGACCUCGGAUCAGGUAGGAAUACCCGCUGAACUUAAGCAUAUCAAUAAGCGGAGGA